UGGCCUACUGGGAGCAACCCUUGGAAGAGGCUCCUGAGCAGAGGAAGAAAACUGGAUGGAAUCGGAUUCUAUGAAACUAAAGACAGUGAGCUGAGCCGAGAAAGAAGUUCCGCAAGCUGUAACUCCAAGGAAGAACAUUCAAGAAAACAAAUUACAGGUGGGUCAGAUUGCCUCUUUGUAGAAAAAGACUUCUGAUUUCAGCUUGAAGAUGAAGAGAGCUGAAAAGACUAUCACACCCACCCUAAAGAAACUGACAAGAAUCAAAUCUUGAUUGCCCAGCACCCUCUCCAACCUCUCCAGCACCAUCUCUAUCAUCGUCCAAUUGAUGUCAACCUAUCUCUGUCUCAGAAAUGCCCCUUACAGUAAGCAAGAUAUGG